AGUGGCUCAUUCACCUCCUUAUGUCAGCCCCUUCGGGACGUGCUACAUAAACUUCGAAUGAUGCACAACAAGGUGCCUGCCGUCCAGCAAAUGAUAAUAGCGCUGCUUUAUCAACCAUCGGGCGAAACGUUGAGUUAGGCACCGCCU
rnacentral:sRNA from 1 species